rnacentral:lncRNA from 1 species
CUGCUUCUCAUCUUUCUUUAGAUGGAGUAACAGUUUGCACUUCAGGAAAGCUUAACUGUUGGCUGCUGGAGUUCUCUUGAUAUCAUAACAACCAGUGUCUCACAAUGUGCAAAGAUUUCCGCGUGCUUCACUGCAACAUAGCCAAGUGACUGCCUUUAAUGCCAGCUAUGAAUCUGCAUAUAGGAGCUCAUCCCAAGAUGAAGCUCUACGUGGAUCUGAAUUAAAGGAGGAGCUGUUCUGGGAGGAGCCACACUGCACUGCUGUGACAUUAAAUCCCUCCAUCCAUGGGAGCUCCCAAUGAUUUUGACUUUGGACUGUAGCCUGGAACACCUGCUGCCUCCUCUUUUGCAAGGCCACUGCUUGAAGGGAG